CCUACGGGAGGCAGCAGUAGGGACAUCUUCCGCAAUGGACGAAAGUCUGACGGAGCAACGCCGCGUGAGUGAUGAAGGCUUUCGGGUCGUAAAACUCUGUUGUUAGGGAAGAACAAGUGCUAGUUGAAUAAGCUGGCACCUUGACGGUACCUAACCAGAAAGCCACGGCUAACUACGUGCCAGCAGCCGCGGUAAU
rnacentral:rRNA from 1 species